AGAAAUGGAGAGGGCAUCCAAGGGACUAUUGUGUGAUCCAUUUGCAGUCAUCUGGAGAAAAUCUAAAGAAAAAGUUCAAAAAGUCAACUGAAGAGCACAAAAGAAAUGGUUGGAUCUGAAAUACCAGCCACCUCCAGCAAAAAAUCAAGAAGGAGAAGAAAAAGAGGAACACUGCUGAUACAUUACAGUGAAGUGACUGCCUUUGGUGUUUGGACUGAAUAGUCUUUGAUGAGAGAAGGAACCUAGAGCACUGCCAGCUUUACAGAGACAAAAUAGCCACAUGAGGAGCUGCACUGCAGCUUUUUCACUACACGAGGGCGCUGGAGAUCUACAAGGCUGAGCAUGGCUCACUGUUACAGCCAAAACUGAAACAGCCUAUUUCAGGAGGCCCGGACUUAUUCAACAUUAUGAACUUUGGUGAAAUGAAAUCAGCAGACUCUUCUUUUAAGCCUUUGUUUGUGCCAGGACAAUCAAUCAACAUAUGCUCAGUUUAUAAAGAUUACAAACAUUAAUAUGUGUUUGCAGAUUGUGAUCACAUG